rnacentral:rRNA from 1 species
CUGUAAGCCUGUGAAGGUGGCCUGUGAGGGUUGCUGGAGGUAUCAGAAGUGCGAAUGCUGACAUAAGUAACGAUAAAGCGGGUGAAAAGCCCGCUCGCCGGAAGACCAAGGGUUCCUGUCCAACGUUAAUCGGGGCAGGGUGAGUCGACCCCUAAGGCGAGGCCGAAAGGCGUAGUCGAUGGGAAACGGGUUAAUAUUCCCGUACUUGGUGUUACUGCGAAGGGGGGACGGAGAAGGCUAUGUUGGCCGGGCGACGGUUGUCCCGGUUUAAGCGUGUAGGUGUGUGUUCCAGGUAAAUCCGGUUCACUUUAACACUGAGGCGUGACGACGAGGCACUACGGUGCUGAAGCAACAAAUGCCCUGCUUCCAGGAAAAGCCUCUAAGCAUCAGGUAACAUCAAAUCGUACCCCAAACCGACACAGGUGGUCAGGUAGAGAAUACCAAGGCGCUUGAGAGAACUCGGGUGAAGGAACUAGGCAAAAUGGUGCCGUAACUUCGGGAGAAGGCACGCUGACACGUAGGUGAAGUGAUUUACUCAUGGAGCUGAAGUCAGUCGAAGAUACCAGCUGGCUGCAACUGUUUAUUAAAAACACAGCACUGUGCAAACACGAAAGUGGACGUAUACGGUGUGACGCCUGCCCGGUGCCGGAAGGUUAAUUGAUGGGGUCAGCGCAAGCGAAGCUCCUGAUCGAAGCCCCGGUAAACGGCGGCCGUAACUAUAACGGUCCUAAGGUAGCGAAAUUCCUUGUCGGGUAAGUUCCGACCUGCACGAAUGGCGUAAUGAUGGCCAGGCUGUCUCCACCCGAGACUCAGUGAAAUUGAACUCGCUGUGAAGAUGCAGUGUACCCGCGGCAAGACGGAAAGACCCCGUGAACCUUUACUAUAGCUUGACACUGAACAUUGAGCCUUGAUGUGUAGGAUAGGUGGGAGGCUUUGAAGUGUGGACGCCAGUCUGCAUGGAGCCGACCUUGAAAUACCACCCUUUAAUGUUUGAUGUUCUAACGUGGACCCGUAAUCCGGGUUGCGGACAGUGUCUGGUGGGUAGUUUGACUGGGGCGGUCUCCUCCUAAAGAGUAACGGAGGAGCACGAAGGUUGGCUAAUCCUGGUCGGACAUCAGGAGGUUAGUGCAAUGGCAUAAGCCAGCUUGACUGCGAGCGUGACGGCGCGAGCAGGUGCGAAAGCAGGUCAUAGUGAUCCGGUGGUUCUGAAUGGAAGGGCCAUCGCUCAACGGAUAAAAGGUACUCCGGGGAUAACAGGCUGAUACCGCCCAAGAGUUCAUAUCGACGGCGGUGUUUGGCACCUCGAUGUCGGCUCAUCACAUCCUGGGGCUGAAGUAGGUCCCAAGGGUAUGGCUGUUCGCCAUUUAAAGUGGUACGCGAGCUGGGUUUAGAACGUCGUGAGACAGUUCGGUCCCUAUCUGCCGUGGGCGCUGGAGAACUGAGGGGGGCUGCUCCUAGUACGAGAGGACCGGAGUGGACGCAUCACUGGUGUUCGGGUUGUCAUGCCAAUGGCACUGCCCGGUAGCUAAAUGCGGAAGAGAUAAGUGCUGAAAGCAUCUAAGCACGAAACUUGCCCCGA